rnacentral:tRNA from 1 species
UACAAGCAGAGCUAUUUCCUGGGGAAAGCUUGCCUUGAAAACAAACCUGAAGUGUUCGAUUCACUUAAUAGCUU